rnacentral:sRNA from 1 species
AUUCUGCGUAAGGGAUAGAAGCGGCAUCCUUUUGUAAGGAGGAACGACGAGCAAAAGAUAUAGCGGAUAGCCCGACCCGUU